rnacentral:rRNA from 1 species
GAUGAACGCUGGCGGCGUGCCUAAUACAUGCAAGUCGAGCGAACGGACGAGAAGCUUGCUUCUCUGAUGUUAGCGGCGGACGGGUGAGUAACACGUGGAUAACCUACCUAUAAGACUGGGAUAACUUCGGGAAACCGGAGCUAAUACCGGAUGAUAUUUUGAACCGCAUGGUUCAAAAGUGAAAGACGGUCUUGCUGUCACUUAUAGAUGGAUCCGCGCUGCAUUAGCUAGUUGGUAAGGUAACGGCUUACCAAGGCAACGACGCAUAGCCGACCUGAGAGGGUGAUCGGCCACACUGGAACUGAGACACGGUCCAGACUCCUACGGGAGGCAGCAGUAGGGAAUCUUCCGCAAUGGGCGAAAGCCUGACGGAGCAACGCCGCGUGAGUGAUGAAGGUCUUCGGAACGUAAAACUCUGUUAUUAGGGAAGAACAUAUGUGUAAGUAACUGUGCACAUCUUGACGGUGCCUAAUCAGAAAGCCACGGCUAACUACGUG